GCCGUGUAAGAUGUGCCUGCUUCCCCCUCGCCUUCUGGCAUGACUGUAAGUUUGCUGAAGCCUCCCAGCCAUGCAUCCUGUAAAGCCUGUGGAACGGAGAUUGAAGACGACAGAAGUAAGCGUUUGUCAAUUUGAAGACAGAUCAAUGGGAAGUAUACAAUCUGAAGAGCAGAGAAAAAAAUUACUGAAAACUGUUUAACAGAGCUUCAAUGACUUGUGGAAUUAAGUAACAUUAAGCAGUCUAAAUUUCUGGAGACAGAGUGAAACGGG
rnacentral:lncRNA from 10 species